GUUUAGGUAGUUUAAUAAAAAAUAGUGAUUUGUGGUAUCAAAGAAAUUAAUAAUAAUUCUGAAUU
rnacentral:tRNA from 1 species